ACUGAAAAUCUAGAGAAAGAAAGGUUUCUGGAAACUGUCUGUUAUUUAACACCGUGUAAAUAAAGGCGUUGCGAGUGAGUAGUGAUCUGGGGCAAACACUGAGCUCACUGUGUACGCCGGGAACUUUUCAGCCUCCACGGUGUAAAUGUCUUUCUGCGAUCGCAGACACGAGGGCCGGGGGACACAUUCCAAUAUAAACGAUGGGGGUUAAUUUCAAGAUUUCAAGCAACAUUACUCCCACAGACGUUGAGGAUUGACUGUAAUAAUAAUAAGUAGAAGACAUAAAUAAUAAGAAAGAAUGAAGCACCGCCGCCAUGAUUCCUCCCGCAGAAACAAAACGCCAGGUUCCCUUCUUCCCUCUGGUCCCCUGUUGAUGACAUCCAAAACCCAUCCACCACCACGCCUUCCCAGCAUUCCACUAUCCUAAUUUCCAGUCCGACUCCUUUAUAUGUCCGUGCAACCCUCCCUGUAUUGUCUAACGUAUUUUUCAGUUUUGUUUUGAGAUUUGGAAGACCGUGAUUAUUAUUUACAGUAUACGGGGC